GUGGGUGUACGGCGUAAAUAUCCGGCAUGAAGACUGCGCAUGCCGGACUCUCAUCUAUAACUGAUAUAGUAUCAUGAAUGUUAACGUUAUUGUGUAUAUUUGAAGUUUCUUGUUGCACUUAAUGGUCGUAGAUUUUAUCUGGUACUGCUUUUCUUUUCUGAGUUUCGUACAACGUCAUCUUAAUGUCAUUUUGGAAACACAUCAUCUACUAAAACUAUGUUUCGUAUAUAAGUCAUUAAAAUUGUAGAAUACAAAAACAAAUAGUGCUAAAAGUAUUUGGAUACAAUGAUACAUGUAGAAAAGGUUUUAAAAAUAGAAUUACACAUUCACAAAU
rnacentral:lncRNA from 1 species